CAAAAUGAAUGGGAUAUCAAUUUUUCUCUUAAUUUCUUCUUUUUGGGAUUUAUUGUGCUUCUAAAGAGAUCAAAAUCUUAUGGGAAUUAUUUUUUUCAUAUAAAAACUCAAAACUGUAUUUAUCGUUUACCUUUUCUUUACACACCCUUCAUCGUAAAUAGAUUUAUUAUUCUUAUUUUGUUAAAAUUUAACUAAGAGAUGUAUCUUUGUAUAUAUAAGGAUGACUUUGGAGAUAAAUUUUCGUAAACACAAUUAAUUCAAAAUCUAGUGAGUGUUACAUAAAUGCAUCUUCAGGCGCGUUUUAUACAUUAACACAUGCCAUACCCUUCCCUCUGACUCCUUCAUUUUUUGAAUACUCACUCAAGUUCACUCACUCCAUUUCCAAACCAUUUCCAAACCCUAUUUGAGUAAGUUUUAUCAAGUUCACUCACUCCAUUCUAUUUCAUUUGCUGCAAAGUUAUCUAGUUUAUUCAAGAUUCUCAAUCACAACUCUAUUUUGGUAAAUUUAUCAUUUCAUUUUCGUAUGUGUUUUGACAUAUGAUUUAGGUGACAUAGGUUGUUAGCUGCAUUACGUAGUAGUACAAUCGAAAUAUGUAGCUGCUAUAGACAUGCAUUGCCAUUUUGUUGGAGGUUAAGGUAGCAAUGGGGUUUCUGUCAUUGAUGAAAAUUGUAGGGGUGGAAAUAUGCCAGACCGACUAAUAGGGGCAUACGGUCUAGCCUACACAUGCUCAGGCCAUGUCAGAUUUUUUUUAAGUAGAAAAGACUUAGGUUUUUUUAUAAGUCUAUUUAAUUAAAAAUGCUAGGCUCAAGUUAUAAAAAAAAACUUUUAAGCCUAUCAGACCAACCUAUGUAAAUAAAUAUGGAUUUUUUUAUUAUCUUUAUGUUA